rnacentral:rRNA from 1 species
CAAUAGCGUAUAUUUAAGUUGUUGCAGUUAAAAAGCUCGUAGUCGGAUUUUGGCUGAGAACGAUCGGUCCGCCGUUAGGUGUGCACUGAUUGGUCUCAGCUUCCUGGUGAGGAGGUGUGCUUCACGGCCACUUAGUCACCGUGGUUACUUUGAAAAAAAUUAGAGUGUUCAAAGCGGGCUUACGCUUGAAUAUAUUAGCAUGGAAUAACACCAUAGGACUCCUGUCCUAUUUCGUUGGUCUCGGGACGGGAGUAAUGAUUAAGAGGAACAGUUGGGGGCAUUCGUAUUUCAUUGUCAGAGGUGAAAUUCUUGGAUUUAUGAAAGACGAACUUCUGCGAAAGCAUUUGCCAAGGAUGUUUUCAUUGA